rnacentral:tRNA from 1 species
GAGGGUAUGGCUCAAGGGCAGUGUGUGCCUAGCAUGCACAAGGUCCUGGGUUCAAUCCCCAGUACCUCCA